rnacentral:lncRNA from 1 species
AAGCGUCCUGUUCCACGCUCCAGAACCCUUGAGAUGGGAAGGACCUUGGAGAGCACCUGAUAAAGCCUUUCCGUUCCCUAUUGCCGCGAUGGGGAGCUUGUCCCCUCGAGGCAAAGAGCAUACAGGCGUGUUGGGAUGACUGGGUUUUGCUGGUCUUCAAUCUGUAACGUUGGAAUUGUUUUCACUACCCUGCCUCUUCUUCAUUCUGCCUGAUUCUCCAGAGGAAGAAGAGGUGGAUAAGAUGAUGGAACAGAAGAUGAAGGAAGAACAGGAGAGAAGGAAGAAAAAGGAGAUGGAAGAGAGAAUGUCAUUAGAGGAGACCAAGGAACAAAUUCUGAAGUUGGAGGAGAAGCUUUUGGCUCUACAGGAAGAGAAGCACCAGCUUUUCCUGCAGCUCAAGAAAGUUUUACAUGAGGAAGAAAAACGGAGGCGAAAGGAACAGAGUGACCUGACCACCCUAACAUCAGCUGCAUACCAGCAGAGCCUGACUGUUCACACAGGAACUCAUCUCCUCAGCAUGCAGGGUGAGGACUAAAGAAACCACCAGAUGGAACCGGCCUUCU